rnacentral:rRNA from 1 species
GACGAACGCUGGCGGCGUGCCUAAUACAUGCAAGUCGAACGCUUCUUUCCUCCCGAGUGCUUGCACUCAAUUGGAAAGAGGAGUGGCGGACGGGUGAGUAACACGUGGGUAACCUACCCAUCAGAGGGGGAUAACACUUGGAAACAGGUGCUAAUACCGCAUAACAGUUUAUGCCGCAUGGCAUAAGAGUGAAAGUCGCUUUCGGUUGUCGCUGAUGGAUGGACCCGCGGUGCAUUAGCUAGUUGGUGAGGUAACGGCUCACCAAGGCCACGAUGCAUAGCCGACCUGAGAGGGUGAUCGGCCACACUGGGACUGAGACACGGCCCAGACUCCUACGGGAGGCAGCAGUAGGGAAUCUUCGGCAAUGGACGAAAGUCUGACCGAGCAACGCCGCGUGAGUGAAGAAGGUUUUCGGAUCGUAAAACUCUGUUGUUAGAGAAGAACAAGGACGUUAGUAACUGAACGUCCCCUGACGGUAUCUAACCAGAAAGCCACGGCUAACUACGUG